UCAGGUAGAUAGGUCCGAGGUGGAAGUGUGGUGACACAUGGAGCUGACGGAUACUAAUCGUUCGAGGACUUAACCAAG
rnacentral:rRNA from 1 species